GCACUAAAUACGGAAAACAGCCAAACUGAAGUCGUAUUACGAAUUUAAUCUCGCAGAAAUGUGGUAUCGUUGAAAUUGCUGCAACAAAGCGGCUGUUUACGACACACGUCUACGGGCGAGCUACCUUAGGAAAAAUACAGGCAAUUUCAAAACAAUCAUUCACUAUAUGGCCCGAAAGUUGACUAGAUAGAAGACGCUUUUAGCAAUAAUUCUAGCUAUUGCACUUUUACAAAUUAUAUUUUUGAACAAUAAUAACGAGCCAAGGCAUUUAAAAUUUUGGCGAACUGGUAUCGGACUUCCGUUAAUAUUCAUGUGCUGGAAAGAUCGCUUAAAUAGCGAAACAUUAAUUCGGCUUUGGUUCUUGUUGUUUGUAUUUCACUGAGCUGAAAAAUACCUUAUUUUAUGUAUUUAUUUAACUUUAUUAUAAAAACAUGGAAAUGGCGGACUUAAAGCCUGAGGCUUUUUCUAUCAGUUAACCAGUCGGUGAUGCUGAGAAAAAAGAAUAUUUUUUUACUUCAAUAUUGAAAUGUUUGCCUUUAAAACUUUUACGUAAUAUUAUCUUUCAACGGUCUCAUAAUCCUCCUUCUGUACUACCCAUACCCCAUACUAAUAUAAAGCGAAAAGAUUUGUAUUUAUAUUUUUGGUUUUUAAUGAAUACACUCUUGAGUUUAUUCAUUAAACAUUCAGCCUAGUAGAUCUUGAUCUACUAGACUGAUUUUAAUGAAAUUUGGCGCAGAGACGGACGAUACCUUCAGGAGUAACAUAGGGUACUUUUUUUAAUAUGGUUUUACCCGAUCGAAGCCGGAAUGGAAAUUACAGUUCAUGUAUUUAUCUCGAUUUUAUUAUUACCUACAGAAUUAUGAAAUUUAAAAGACAAAGCUAG